UGUGCACAGCUUGUGGCUGGAUGGGAUUCACGUGGGUUUGCCUGGAGGCGUUGCUGUGCGCAGCCUGUGGCUGGAUGGGGUUCACGUCGGUUUUGCUGUGAAGAGACCAAACACUACAGAUUGAAGCUGGGUGCCUGAUGGACACCUGCUCGUGUGCUUCUCUGUAAGUAUUUGCAUUGUCGCAGUUGCAAGCACCCAUUUCACUGAGAAUCACUGCUGCAUCAUCGCAGUUGCAAGCGCGCAUUUGCUGAGAAUCACUGUUGCCUCCAUGGGGUCCUGUCCUAUGGGCGAUCCCUAUCUAGUUGGGAACUCUGUGCCAGGAGCUCCAAUGCUUCCCAUCUUACUAAGUUCUACACUGACUACAGUGAUAGGUAACGUCUGUUUUCCUGCAAUGCUUAAAUAUUGUUUCUACCUCCACCUUUGGCAGCUAUGUGGCAGACAAUUUAAUCACUGUUAGGCA
rnacentral:lncRNA from 1 species